AAUCAGAAUGUUGCGGUGAAUACGUUCCCGGGCCUUGUACACACCGCCCGUCACACCAUGGGAGUGGGUUGCAAAAGAAGUAGGUAGCUUAACCUUCGGGAGGGCGCUUACCACUUUGUGAUUCAUGACUGGGGUGAAGUCGUAACAAGGUAGCCGUAGGGGAACCUGCGGCUGGAUCACCUCCUUU
rnacentral:rRNA from 1 species